GUGAAUUUUAGGGCGCUCUCACUUAACUGAGAGGCCUGACCUCCACUCUCCAACUCUGUGCACUAUUGGAAAUCAAAGGAAGGAAGGGCUUGGUCGAAAGACUAGCUUUUCGGACCUCUUUUUCUAUCACUUUUUAAACAUGAGUCAAAGAAUGUAAACAAAACCAUAACAAAAAA
rnacentral:misc_RNA from 1 species